rnacentral:rRNA from 1 species
UACGGAGGAUGCAAGCGUUAUCCGGAAUGAUUGGGCGUAAAGCGUCCGCAGGUGGCAAUGUAAGUCUGCUGUCAAAGCGUCUGGCUCAACCAGAUAAAGGCAGUGGAAACUACAUAGCUAGAGUAAGGUAGGGGUAGAGGGAAUUCCUGGUGUAGCGGUGAAAUGCGUAGAGAUCAGGAAGAACACCGGUGGCGAAAGUGCUCUGCUGGACCUCAACUGACACUGAGGGACGAAAGCUAGGGGAGCGAAUGGG